rfam:Ponticoccus sp. SJ5A-1 ZB100003, whole genome shotgun sequence.
GAUCGAGACCGUGAUGCUGCGCCUGGGGCGCAGGGUCGACUAGACGCGACGCGUCAGGGUUAUCAUAAGUGUCCAGUCUUGUGACGGCGUACCUUUUGUAUAAUGGGUCAUCGACUUGGUCUAACAUGCAAGCUUAAGCCGAUAGGUGUAGGCGCAGCGAAAGCGAGUCUUAAUAGGGCGUCGAGUAUGUUGGAUCAGACCCGAAACCGAGUGAUCUAGGCAUGUCCAGGAUGAAGGUUGGGUAACACCAACUGGAGGUCCGAACCCACACCUGUUGAAAAAGGUCGGGAUGAGGUGUGCCUAGGGGUGAAAGGCCAAUCAAACUCGGAGAUAGCUGGUUCUCCGCGAAAUCUAUUUAGGUAGAGCGUCAUCCGAAUACCCCGGGGGGUAGAGCACUGGAUGGGUAAUGGGGCCCCACAGGCUUACUGAUCCUAACCAAACUCCGAAUACCCGGGAGUAGUAGAUGGCAGACACACUGCGGAUGCUAACGUCCGUAGUGGAGAGGGAAACAACCCUGACCUACAGCUAAGGCCCCCAAUUCGUGGCUAAGUGGGAAAGCAGGUGGGACGACCAAAACAACCAGGAGGUUGGCUUAGAAGCAGCCAUCCUUUAAAGAUAGCGUAACAGCUCACUGGUCUAAUCAAGUUGUCCUGCGGCGAAGAUGUAACGGGGCUCAAGCCACGAGCCGAAGCUUAGGAUGCGUAUGCAUGGUAGCGGAGCGUCGUGUGAUAUAGCACUUAUCUUUACUGCCGCACUUCGGGUACCGGGCACGUUAAAACGUGCUCAAGUAGCCGAUAGGCGGUAGCACAAGAUAAAGUGCUUUCGAUGAAGCCGGGGCGUGAGCCAUCCGGUGGAGAGAUCACGAGCGAGAAUGAUGACAUGAGUAGCGACAAAGAGUGUGAGAGACACUCUCGCCGAAAGUCCAAGGGUUCCUGCUUAAAGCUAAUCUGAGCAGGGUAAGCCGGCCCCUAAGGCGAGGCCGAAAGGCGUAGUCGAUGGGAACCAGGUUAAUAUUCCUGGGCCAGGAGAUGGUGACGGAUUGUGGCGACGGGCGUGCCUUAUCGGAUUGGCGCGUCUUCAAGACAGUCCCUGGAAACAGCCCUCCAUCAGACCGUACCCGAAACCGACACAGGUGGACUGGUAGAGAAUACCAAGGCGCUUGAGAGAACGAUGUUGAAGGAACUCGGCAAAAUACCUCCGUAAGUUCGCGAGAAGGAGGCCCGGUGUUCGAUCACCGGGGGCACAAACCAGGGGGUGGCGACUGUUUACUAAAAACACAGGGCUCUGCGAAGUCGCAAGACGACGUAUAGGGUCUGACGCCUGCCCGGUGCCUGAAGGUUAAAAGGAGGAGUGCAAGCUCCGAAUUGAAGCCCAGGUAAACGGCGGCCGUAACUAUAACGGUCCUAAGGUAGCGAAAUUCCUUGUCGGGUAAGUUCCGACCUGCACGAAUGGCGUAACGACUUCCCCGCUGUCUCCAACAUCGACUCAGCGAAAUUGAAUUGCCUGUCAAGAUGCAGGCUUCCCGCGGUUAGACGGAAAGACCCCGUGCACCUUCACUACAGCUUCGCACUGGCAUCAGGCACAACAUGUGCAGGAUAGGUGGUAGGCUUUGAAACCGUGACGCCAGUCGCGGUGGAGCCACCCUUGAGAUACCACCCUUGUUCUGCUUGAUGUCUAACCGCGGCCCGUUAUCCGGGUCCGGGACCCUGCGUGGUGGGUAGUUUGACUGGGGCGGUCGCCUCCUAAAUCGUAACGGAGGCGCGCGAAGGUUGGCUCAGAGCGGUCGGAAAUCGCUCGUUGAGUGCAAUGGCAGAAGCCAGCCUGACUGCGAGACUGACAAGUCGAGCAGAGUCGAAAGACGGCCAUAGUGAUCCGGUGGUCCCGAGUGGAAGGGCCAUCGCUCAACGGAUAAAAGGUACGCCGGGGAUAACAGGCUGAUACUGCCCAAGAGUCCAUAUCGACGGCAGUGUUUGGCACCUCGAUGUCGGCUCAUCUCAUCCUGGGGCUGGAGCAGGUCCCAAGGGUACGGCUGUUCGCCGUUUAAAGAGGUACGUGAGCUGGGUUUAGAACGUCGUGAGACAGUUCGGUCCCUAUCUGCCGUGGGUGUAGGAUACUUGAGAGGAGUUGCCCCUAGUACGAGAGGACCGGGGUGAACGAUCCACUGGUGGACCUGUUGUUGCGCCAGCAGCAGUGCAGGGUAGCUAUGAUCGGACAGGAUAACCGCUGAAGGCAUCUAAGCGGGAAGCCCCCCUCAAAACAAGGUAUCCCUGAGGACCGUGGAAGACCACCACGUCGAUAGGCCGGAGAUGUAAGCACAGCAAUGUGUUCAGUUGACCGGUACUAAUGGUCCGACAGGCUUGAUUUG